rnacentral:tRNA from 1 species
ACCAGGAUGGCCGAGUGGUUAAGGCGUUGGACUCAAGAUCCAAUGAGCGUCUGCUCACGUGGGUUCUAAUCCUACUUCUGGUA